AGCGGCGCACGGGUGAGUAACGCGUAUCCAACCUUCCCCUUAGUAGGGCAUAGCCCGGCGAAAGUCGGAUUAAUACCCUAUGUUGUCCUAUGAGGACAUCUGAGCAGGACUAAAGGUUUACCGCUAAGGGAUGGGGAUGCGUCUGAUUAGCUUGUUGGCGGGGUAACGGCCCACCAAGGCAACGAUCAGUAGGGGUUCUGAGAGGAAGGUCCCCCACAUUGGUACUGAGACACGGACCAAACUCCUACGGGAGGCAGCAGUGAGGAAUAUUGGUCAAUGGGCGAGAGCCUGAACCAGCCAAGUAGCGUGCAGGAUGACUGCCCUAUGGGUUGUAAACUGCUUUUAUGCGGGAAUAAAGUGCACCACGUGUGGUGUUUUGUAUGUACCGCAUGAAUAAGGACCGGCUAAUUCCGUGCCAGCAGCCGCGGUAAUACGGAAGGUCCGGGCGUUAUCCGGAUUUAUUGGGUUUAAAGGGAGCGCAGGCGGGAUAUUAAGCGUGACGUGAAAUGUAGCCGCUCAACGGCUGAACUGCGUCGCGAACUGGUAUUCUUGAGUGAGUUCG
rnacentral:rRNA from 1 species